AUUCUCGUAAAAACGGGAAAUACCACAGUUAUCAUAUGAAAAUAUCAUGAUCAGGCAAUUAUAGCAAUACAAGCACAUCAACAAGCAACCAAGCACAGAGAUUUACUGAAUGGGCUACUUAUUUUAUUCCAGGGGCAAAAUAGUCAUUACACAAUCAUGUCAACGACCCAUUCCCAACUUGCAGACAGGGGGAACACCUGCAAGAAGAGAAGGCACAAUCCAGGGACUCAACAAGCCUACGGUGGCCAGUCGGGCCCAGCCCUUGCUGGUGGCCAACUAGUCACUCCCCCCUUAAAUGGUCGACGUCCUCGUCGACUGAGCGUUAAUGAAGUCCUCUAUCUUGUGUGCGUAUGCCUGUAGACUUGACUCUUUCUCCCAACUAGUUUCUUCAACACCAAGGCCGUUCCACUUGACAAGGUACUCUAUGUGUGGUGGACGCCUGGCAGACUGGACGAUUCGUUCCGCUAAGAUUUCUUCCACUCCUUGAUUGACAGGUGGUGCGCGGGUUACAGCUGGUCGUGAUGCCGUGUUACGGCUUGCAUUUGACUCAUCGGCAUAAUAGGGCUUCAAUUUGCUGACGUGAAAUACUGGGUGGACUGUCAUCCACUUCGGAGGUUCGAUCCUGUAAGCGGCUGGUCCAAUCUUGGCAACUACUGGUACUGGUCCUUCAUACUUCCGGACUAAUCUUUUGUCAAGGUUGCGAAGGAAUCUCAGCUGCUCUGGUAAUAGCUUCACCAUAACCAAGUCACCAACUGUGAACUCCCGCGCUCAGUUAGAGAAAGCUAGGAGUCAUAUGAAGAAAUGGGCAGAUGAGAACCGGUUGUUUUUUUAAUGCAGAAGUCUCAUUCUGCUUCUAUUUAAUUAUGCUAUGAAAGAUCUGGCAACCUGUUAGCCAUAAUCUUUAUUAGUAAAUAUUUACCUUAUCCAGAAUUGUCAGAAUUAUCAUCAUUCUCCAUUGAUUCCUGCCAACACACAAGGCAUUCAAAUUUUGGUCCUAACAAAUGUUCCAGAAUUUGAAGUUCAAUGAAGUACUGUUGCAAUCUGAAAUGCUAGCUAAUCUAGCUAGCAGCAGGCAGCUGUCCGCCAAAUGUUCCAGAAUCACAUCCUGCAUUUUCAAGAGCAGCUGAGAAUCAGCCAUAAAGACAAUGAGACCAUGUACCUUGAAUGAGAGACUGUGACUACGUUUAGGAGCUCCAUCAAUUUCCUCAUAUUCAGCAGCAUCCAACUCAUGAAGGCAUUGAGAAAACUUAUAACUCUCCUGUAUCGCCGGCUAGGAAUAAUGAAAAGCAGCAUCAGCCUUUCCCAUAACCAGCUCACAGGAAGACUAUCAAUGGCCAUAUAAGCAAAAUAUCCCCAGAGUACUGAUGUAGGUAUCUUCUUGAUUAUGGGCAUAUGCCCAUUAGUGAUAUCCCAACCAGAAGUGAUUGUAAAAAGUUUUUAAUUCUUUGCUAGAAAUUACACUAUUACAAAAAUAAGUUUAAGACAACGAUAAUAAAUUAUUAUACAAUUAAAAAAUACAACUAAAAUUAUAAUAGUGAUA